UAUAUAUGAAUAAGAAAAGGUUUGUGAAAUGCUUGGAUUCCAUAUUAUACUAGUCCUAGUCCGGGAUGAACUAACUAACAGUUUCAAACUCGGGUUGCAAAGCCUUAACUUGGAAUCGCUAGGAAACCCAUUCUUGGAAAUAUGAUCUUGGGAUUCCGGAUCUAAUCCGGGAACCUCGGGUCAAAUGUUUGGGCACGUGGUAGUAGUAUCUUUGAUCUAGUUAGAGUUCUUUAGUUCGUCGUGCAUAUUCUUAUUUGAUUGGUGCAUGGCAAACUAAUUAACUUUUACUUAUUCUGGAUCGGGGGUGUUACAGGGGGGAUGUUAACAUCGAUCGAU
rnacentral:lncRNA from 1 species